rnacentral:lncRNA from 1 species
GUAGUGGCCGUCGAGGCCGCCGUCUGUUCGAAGGCUGUCCGACUUCACGGUUCCCCGCGGCUCGGCCCGGGGGCGUGAGUGUCGCCAGCGGGCGACGGGGGGGCGCGCGGUAGGCCCUGCAACAAGGCCAGGGCCUGGGGGGGCCGGCAGGAGAGCGAACCCGAGGCAUCGUGGUGCCAUGGCGGGGCCGCCCCCACGGGCAUGGGCCUGCAGAGCGUGGCCGUGAGGACGCUGAGGGCCUGAAUUGCAGUUCCUGUGCCCUGGCACUAAGACUGGCACCUCCUGCGGCCCAUGCCCUUCGCCUGCAUUGCCCACUGAGUCCCACUCGACUGUCUUCAGCGCGGUUCACACUGAGACCCAGCCCUCUCCCGCUGGCCCCGAGCAGGCCCACCUUUAGGAGGGCGUGAUGGAAAGGCCCCUGGAGAAUGGGGAUGAGUCCCCAGACUCUCAGGGCCAUGCCACCGACUGGAGAUUUGCUGUGUGCAGUUUCAGGGAUGCCUGGGAAGAGGAGGAA